rnacentral:rRNA from 1 species
UACGAAGGGGGCUAGCGUUGUUCGGAAUUACUGGGCGUAAAGGGCGCGUAGGCUGUGCUGUAAGUCAGGCGUGAAAGGCCCGGGCUCAACCUGGGAAUGGCGCAUGAUACUGCGGCGCUGGAAGGCGGGAGAGGAUGGCGGAAUUCCCAGUGUAGAGGUGAAAUUCGUAGAUAUUCGGAAGAACACCAGUGGCGAAGGCGGCUCACUGGCCCGGUACUGACGCUGAGGUGCGAAAGCGUGGGGAGCAAACAGG